UGUGCAAUAAACGAAAGUAUGACACAGAGAGGACACAUUUAAUUGAGCCCGUCAAAUUAAGUGCCAGCCGACGCGGGUUAAACUUAAGGGCUGGUCUUUAUAAGUAAAAAGGCGUAAAGGAUGUGUAGGCCAAGAAACGAUCAAAGUAGGUAAAUGGAAUUUUUCUGGAGCGGUAGAAUGUGAGGAUAGAAAAUAGAACCCCUAAGGUAAAAACUAUUUACUACAAGGUAGGCUGAAACAUGAGAGUGUGGGGAGCAAACAGGAUUAGAGACCCUGGUAGUCCACACUGUGAACUUUGAAGAUGAUGCUUAGCAGACCCGAAAGGUAAAAUCUUCCGCCUGAGUAGUACGAUCGCAAGAUUAAAAUUCAAAAACUUUGGCUGUUCACUAUUUCGAUUAGAGGAGCGUGUAGUUUAAUUCGAUGGUCCGCGUGUUACCUUACCCCAACUUGAAUCUGUGACCGGUAUUGCAUGGCCGUCGUAAGUUCGUGUAUUAAGCUAGAAGGGACCCAACCCGGGCAUUUGCCCGGAGGAAGUCAGGUCUUAUGAUCCGAAUGUUGGGGGAUUUUAUGCGCUACAUUUUCUUAUAUAAUGAGAAACCUGGAAGGUGAAUCUCUAAAGUAAGAGUUCGGAAGGUCGCUGUAAGACGACUGGAAGUUGGAUUUAAUAGUAAUCGGAAAGUAGGGCGUUCCGGUGAAUUGGUACAAGUGUUAGCACAAAUUGCCCGUCACCUUUACUUAGAAUGGUUAUUCGGAUGUCUUCGG
rnacentral:rRNA from 1 species